AUCAACUUUCGAUGGUAGGAUAGAGGCCUACCAUGGUGGUAACGGGUAACGNGGUGUUAGGNCACGACACCGGAGAGGGAGCNUGAGAAACGGCUACCACAUCCAAGGAUGGCAGCAGGCGCGCAAAUUACCCAAUCCCGACACGGGGAGGUAGUGACAAUAAAUAACAAUACGGGGUUCUUUCGGAUUUCGUAAUUGGAAUGAGUACAAUUUAAAUCUCUUAACGAGGAACAAUUGGAGGGCAAGUCUGGUGCCAGCAGCCGCGGUAAUUCCAGCUCCAAUAGCGUAUAUUAAAGUUGCUGCAGUUAAAAAGCUCGUAGUUGAAUUUCGGGACUAAUAUGUCGGUCGUGCCUCGGUACGUACUGGUAUUUUUGGUUUCUCCCUUCUGAUGAACCUUGAUGUCAUUAAUUUGGUGUCUUGGGAAAUCAGGACUGUUACUUUGAAAAAAUUAGAGUGUUUAAAGCAGGCUCACGCUUGAAUACAUUAGCAUGGGAUAAUGAAAUAGGACGUUUGAUUCUAUUUUGUUGGUUUCUAGGAUCGACGUAAUGAUUAAUAGGGAUAGUUGGGGGCAUUAGUAUUCAAUUGUCAGAGGUGAAAUUCUUGGAUUUAUUGAAGACUAACUACUGCGAAAGCAUUUGCCAAGGAUGUUUUCAUUAAUCAAGAACGAAAGUUAGGGGAUCGAAGACGAUCAGAUACCGUCGUAGUCUUAACCAUAAACUAUGCCGACUAGGGAUCGGAUGAUGUUGAUUUUUUAAUGACUCAUUCGGCGCCUUACGGGAAACCAAAGUGUUUGGGUUC
rnacentral:rRNA from 1 species